rnacentral:lncRNA from 1 species
CCCCUCAACCUAAUGUAAAUACAUACUUAUGUUGGCCAACCACAAUUUGCACUUCCUUCUCUAUUCUGGUGUCACUCUAACCCUAAAAUUUUUAGCUCCUCUACUCCUUUCUCUCUACCACUGCAUCUCACCUUUCCCCAUGUGCUCUCAUCUUUUAUUUUUCCUUUCUUUUCUCCCUAAGUGUCGCCGCUUGCCCCCACCAUCAUAGGGUCGUCGUCCUCUUUUCUUUCCCAUUCCCAUCGUCGCACAUUGCACCACCAUUAAGCGAUUGUUUUCUUUUCUUUUCUUCCUAAAAUUGCCUACUUUACACUGUCGAUCUCUUCUUAUUUCUUUUUAUCAUUGCCACAACUACCACAUUGGUAGACUGUUGUGUUUCUUCCUUCUUCUUUUUUUCUUGUUUUUGCUUACCACACCUUUGAACCAUCAAACUUCUUGAUUAUUACCUUGUUGCUGCUGCCUCUACUAAUAUUCGGGCUGCCGAUUUUCCUUCCCUCAUUGUAGGAUUCCUUAUUCACUCGAUACACUAUUCAUGAUUAGAUCCAUAGUCUUUAGCAACAAAUCGGUAAGUUAUACAUUUGUAUUGGUUAGACAUUAAUUCCUAGAAAUUUAAUUGAAUUGUUGUUCUUUCUUCUUUUCAGUUUAAUCGAUUACAUUUAGAUCUAACCAAAACUUUGUCAAUUGGUUCUAACAUUAAGUGGUUUUGUGUGAACGAUGUUAAAGGGCCAAAUCUGGGAGAGGCAGAUCAGAUUUGAACUUGAGGAGUGUCGAACAAACUAGUAGCGAAGGUGUGUGUUUUGACUAAUGUUGUCGUGUGUGUGUGUCAACAUUCGGCCGAAUGUAUACGUGCUUCCCUUGUGAUUUUUGGUUGUUAAUGUCAUAUCUUGAUGAUGAUUAAAUGUUUCUAAUGGCUUCGAUUUUUCUAAGUAACCCUAGAUCUGAUCUAAAAAUAAACUUUGAUCUGGUAUUGAAAAAUCAUCGAUUCAAUUCAGUGGGUAAUGAAACUGUGUACGGAAGAUCUAAUUUUUGUAUGCUACCAUUUUUCUGAAUUGUUAUGUUGAUCAUGUAUGUGAUGUCAAAUUUGUGUUUAAUCUACCAUUGCUACUGAUGCAUGUUUACUGCUACUGUUAAAAUUACAAAUCAUUACUGAAUGCAUGAAAGUUGUAUGUCAAUACUGCUAUUGUUACUAUUUUUUGAUUUGUAAAAACAUGUCAUAAUAUUGCAUUGGGAUUGGGAUAUUGAAGGUGGAAAUACAGGCUCUAAAUGCCGGAUUGUUUCGCCGAUCAAAACUAUUAUUAUACUAGCAGUUCAUCCAAAAAAUAUUAUUUUGGCGUGUAGGGAUGGAUGAGUUAUGGGGGAACUCUUACUGUGAAGUGUGGCCGAUGCUUGGGUAUAGAGGUGCUCAUGGGCCGGGCCGGGCCCAGAAAAAUUUUGGCCCGGGUCCUAGGCUCGGGCCCGGCCCGAAAUAUGGGCUUAGAAUUUUGCCCAGGCCCGGCCCGGGAAAAAAUUCAUAAGCCCAGGCCCGGCCCGGCCCGUUUUUUAAAUAAAUACCAAAAAUUUAUUUUAAAAAUUAAAACAAAAAUUAAAAAAAUAUUUUAAAAUUAAAAAAAUUAAAAAGUAUUUUUAAAAAAAUUAAAAUUUUAAAAAAGUAUUUAAAAAAAGUAUUUUAAAAGUAUUUCAAAAGCAUUUUAAAAUUAAAAAAUUUAAAAAAUAAAAAUAUUUAUUAUAUUCGGGCCGGGCCCGGGCCAAAAAAGUGGUGCCUGAGGCCCGGCCUGUUUUUUAAUCGGGCCUCAUUUUUUUGCCCAAGCCCAUAUUUCGGGCCUAUAUUUUUACCCAAACCCUCCCAUAUUUCGGGCGGGCCGUCGGGCCGGGCGGCACCUCUAGUUGGGUAGGAAAUUAUAUUGUUAUCCAUGCAUAUUGUAUUUUUACUGAAAAUUACCAUGAGAUUAGUAUUCUGACAUGAUCUAUUUUCUAUGUGCUUGUAAGCAAUAAUUUAUGCUUAUGUGUUUAUUUGUUCCUAUGUUAAGACCACACUAAGCUUCAUAGCUCACUCUUUAGUUUUUCCCAACUUUUUAGAUAACUUGUGAGGUUAGGACUCGGACUCGGUAUUCGGAGCACUGUCAUCAUUUUUCCCUUAAAAACAUAUUUCUAAAUUGUUUUAUCAGUUCUUUUGGGUUUUGCACUGUUUUAAACGGGCUAUGGCAUAGACUUUAUUAAUUAUUUGGGUGUUUAAUUUGGGGAUUUGGCAUUAUAUGUUUUUGAUGAUAUACUUAAACAUGAAUAAGGUUUUCAAGAUUUUAUUUUAAAUUAUUUUAAAAUGGUGCAAAUAUGAUUUUUCCUAUCAACUUUGGAACUAAAAUCAAAACGAAUGAGAUAAAUAAAAUAAGCCAAUGUUUUCUUAAGAUAGAUUCGAUUUUAAAAGUGGUUUUGAGACUAAAAACAACACUGUUUUUCUAAAAGUGUUUCUCAUCAGUUUUAUAAAGUAGUGGAUUUAAAAUAUAUAUAUUUGUUUACCAAAAUUUUACCAUAAUGAUUUCACAAUUUAAAAGAGUACCCAAAUCGUAUUGAUACCUCAACAAGUAUCGAUAUCUUUUUAACAAAAUAAAGAUAAUUUGUAAGUAAACUUGAGAUUUUUCUACAACAAUCCAUUUAAAUGAACCUGAAUGUUUUUCUGGGUCAUCUCGGUGGCUAAUGUGACUUUCAUGAUUUGGCCGUAACGCCUGGGCCGGGUUGGGGAGGUUACAACAAUUCUCCCCUCCUUAAGAAAUUUCAUCCCCGAAAUUUACAUGAGAAAAUGUUUGAGUACUGAAAUUUUAUUUCCGAAUCAAAUUAAUUCAUUUGUUAUCAUUCCUUAUCAAUCCUUAGACUCGUUUAGCUGUAUCACAUGGUCUUUCACAUGCUAUCGACAUUUAUAUAUCGCAAUUUGUAUUCGAGUCAUCAGAUUCCUAUAUCAGUCCAAUUCAUAUUCCCUUUAACCCAUUCAUAUGUUGUAACUUGAUUAACCUGGUUUAUACUCAACUAAAUGCAUAGAUUAAUCUACUUGUAUCCAGAUCUAGAACCGAAACAAUAAUAUUGGCACAUGAGUGCAUCAUCUAACGAACCGACGUACAUAUACGGGUACAUAAGUGCAUCAUCGGGUAAACUGAAGCAACUAUAUUAGCACACGCAGUACAUCAUCGGAUAAACCAAAGCAACUAUAUUUUAACCCAACACGAAGCGCGAUCGAGAACUAAACUAGAAUGAAAAAAAAAAAGUGACAAAAAAUCCAAAUAAAUAUCUAAAAAUCAAAUCAUCUAACGAAAUAAAAUGGAAAUGGAAGCAAAUGAAAGAAUUUAAUGGCUUAGCUUGGGAAAUCGAGAUUCUAUCUAAAUUCCCUUAAUUUAAAAUAAGAAUGUGAAAAGUAACCUAAAGUGUGAUUAGUUUUAAGAGAGGGGGUGAAGGUGAUAUUGUCUGGGUGGAGGGAAGAUUUUGGUCCCGC